UUUUCUGCAGCAAACUCCUCACUUCUUCAGAGUUCCUCGCGACGGAAUCAAAAUUUAUCUUCAUCUGUUCCGCUCUCUCUCUCUCUAGGUAUUUUUCUCUCUCAAUAUUUAAUUUGACUAAAACCUUAUUAUCUUUUGCAUUUGGCUAUGAUUUUGAAUGGUAUAAUACAAAUUAUAGUGAGUUUUGCUGUGUUUGCUUCAUUUCUUUAACAAACUCUCAGCUCCAGUAUCAGUUAUUUUUUAGUUAUUAUAAUUUGCUAUAGUUGUGAUGGUGUGUUAAUUUGCUGUAAUAAUCAAAAUUCUGAAUAAAUGGCUAAUUACGAAAAGCUCUUAUGAGUAGUUAUGCCACUGGAGGCAGUGGGUACACGCCUUAAUUACUUGUUUAAUGAUUUAUUUUUUUUGUUCCUGUUUUGAGAGCUGAUUGUGUGUUGAUUUGAAAUUGAACUGAUCUCUAAUUAUAUUUUUAUGUGUUAAUGUGGGUUUUCUUGCUAGUACUGGAUUUCUAUUUCUAUAUAUAUUUCCUCUAUAGAAGACCAAAAAAUUGAUUAACUUUUAGCUAAUUAUUAAAAUUAGGGUUUAAUUAUGGAAAUCUAUUUUUUUUCUAAGUGAAGUUAGUUUGUAAUGCAAUUGAAAAUAAGAAAGUUAAAAGAACUUAUAUGUAAAGUAUGGUGGAGGAUUUGAUACGGGUGCGGUGGAACUUAGGAGGAUCCGAGCAACAUAGCCUAUAACGACCAUUAAUGUUGAAAAAAUCAGAAAUUAGAUUUUACCUUGUAGGUUGCUGAUGAUAACAUGGACAUAGUUAAGCUGCAAGAAUACUCUGUCCUCCUUAACAGAUCUCCCUAAUGUUACCAAAAAUGUUACUCUUUUCUCUUGCAGAUUUUCCUCCUCAUAAUAUUGGUUCUUUUAGUAUAGUCUUGAUCCAUAUUAACAUUAUGUUUUUAUAGAAUGAUUUGUAAGACUGCUUUUAUGCCGAUAAACUUGCAGUAAUACGAGCUAUCUAAUGUUGAUAUGUCCUGCAUUGAACAAAAGUAUCCUUAAUUAAUCAUCUUUUCUGCAUGUGAACAGCUACAUCUGUGAAUUAACGAGACAUUUCCUCCAUGCAGUUCAGCUGAUAAUUAAAGGAUAUCGUGGAAAUGGCAACCUAUAUGUGGAGGAAAUAUGCAGAUUAUGUGUACACAAAGUGGGAGAAGACAAUUCUAUGGGAUAUGGUCGAACCAUUUAGGAGACCAAAAUCGUUUACACCUCUUGU
rnacentral:lncRNA from 1 species